AGUGAACGCUGGCGGUAGGCCUAACACAUGCAAGUCGAACGGCAGCACAGUAAGAGCUUGCUCUUACGGGUGGCGAGUGGCGGACGGGUGAGGAAUACAUCGGAAUCUACUUUUUCGUGGGGGAUAACGUAGGGAAACUUACGCUAGUACCGCAUACGACCUACGGGUGAAAGCAUGGGAUCUUCGGACCUUGCGCGAUUGAAUGAGCCGAUGUCGGAUUAGCUAGUUGGCGGGGUAAAGGCCCACCAAGGCGACGAUCCGUAGCUGGUCUGAGAGGAUGGUCAGCCACACUAGAGCUGAGACACGGUCCAGACUCCUACGGGAGGCAGCAGUGGGGAAUAUUGGACAAUGGGCGCAAGCCUGAUCCAGCCAUACCGCGUGGGUGAAGAAGGCCUUCGGGUUGUAAAGCCCUUUUGUUGGGAAAGAAAAGCAGCAGGUUAAUACCCCGCUGUUCUGACGGUACCCAAAGAAUAAGCACCGGCUAACUUCGUG
rnacentral:rRNA from 1 species